AGAGUCUGUUCCUUCUGAUGUUCGGAUGUGUUCGGAGUUUCUUCCUUCUGGUGGGUUCGUGGUCUCGCUGGCUCGGGAGUGAAGCUGCAGACGUUUGCGGGAACUUAGAGCACAAAGUGCACAGCCAUCAUAGAAUCUGGAGACAGAGGAGAAUCCAGAGUCACAGCCCAGAUCUGCUUCCAUGGGACCGUUAACUGGUUGGGUCACUUGAAUGGCAACUCUGAUGAACCAGGAAGACUGGGUAUAGAUGUGGAUGAGUGACAAACUCUUGAAAGUGGCCGUUAUGGGGCUUGCACACGUUUCUGGGCUUUACCAGAGAAACACCACAGUACAUUUUCAUGGUGAAGAUCUGAGAACGAUUCUCUGCUGCCUCUGGCAAGGGCCAGAGAGAGAAAUGAGCUCCGGGCCCCCUCCAUUAGGAAGGCCUACUUUCCAGGAGAAGACUGGCCCAGAGCCUUGUCCAGAGCCACGUGGAAUGGCAUCUUCUCCAGACCAUGUCCCCAGCCUUUCUGUCUCACACAAGGGGCAGGGAAAGUGGAAGAAAGCCACACAGGACCCUCAGGCUAAGGUCAUCACAGGCCCUCUGAGAUAAAUAGAUUAAACUGGGGUAUCAUAGCGUGACCCCUCCUCCUCUCCUCACCAUCACAUAAACAGAGCUCCCUUGCAAUCAAAAUAUAUAGCGCGUUUCAGUGAAAAGAGCUGCAGGUCAGACACUCAGAGAGGGCCAGCUCAAGAGCAGAGACACAAACAAGGCCACUAGAGGAGCUUGCAGUUUCUUCAGCAAACACAGAGCAAAGCCUGGCAACUACUCAGAUUAACAUACCUCUUGAUAGUAGAAGCCGAUUCUCCUCAGUUCCUAUUACCUGAUCCGUGAGUUCUUCCAGUAAAAAUUGGGCCAAAGCAAAGGACAAGAAAAAAUAAAAACAGUCUGAAGAAACGAAACCUCAGAAACAAAGUCAGGUAUGACACAGAUGUUGGAAUUAUCAGAAGGGAAUUAAAACAACUGGUAAAUAUGUAAACGUUCUCAUGAAAUAAGUAAACAACGUGCAAACACAGAUGGAUAAUGUAAGCAGUGUAAAAGGAAAAUGAAUCUUGGGGUCCCAAAAUCACAAAGCCAAAAGGAAAGUCAAGCUGGGAACUGCUUAGGGCAAACCUGCCUCCCAUUCUACUCCUAAAAACGAUAGCUACUAAGGUGUUUUUGUUUUUGUUUUUGUUUUUGUUUUUGUUUUUAACAAAAGCUACAUACUUCCCUCACAAUUUGUCCACAAGGAAAUCCCUUGUGGACAAAGGACAGACAGAUCCAAGUCAUCCCUCUGCUCACUGAGAUAAAUGCAUAUCUGAUUGCUUCCUUUGGAAAGCUUAACCAGAAACUCAAAAGAAUGCAACCGUUUUUGUCUUAUCUACCUAUGACCUGGAAACCCCGUCCCCACCUCGAGUUGCCCGGCCUUGCUGGAUGGAGCCAAUGUAUGGCUUACAUACAUUGAUUGGUGCCUCAUGUCUCCUUGAAAUGUAUGAAAGCAAGCUGUUCCCUGACCACCUGGGGCACAUGUCGUCAGGACCUCCUGAGGCUGUGUCACGGAUGUGUGUCCUUAACUUUGGCAAAAAUAAACGUUCCAAAUUGACUGAGACUGUCUCAGGUAUUUGGGAUUCACAGCAGAGAUAACGAACUUCUAAGAAAGGCAGAAAAUGCUAGAACAUAUAAAACAGAAAUAAAGAGUACCUUGGACACGCUUAUCACUAGACUUCACACAUCUGAAGAAAGAAUUACUGAGUUUGAAGAUGGGUAAAGGGCAAGUUCUCAAAGUGAAAUGAUGAGUGAAGAAAGAAUGGGGAAGGUGUGGGGAAUCAGAACAGAAUAUACCAGAACUCUGGGACAAUUUCAGAAUGUGUAACGUAUACGUAAUUGGAACACUAGAAGAAGGAAAAGAGAAAAUAGGGCCAAAUAAAUAUUUGAAGUAAUACUGAUAAUUUUUUUAUUAAUGGAAGGCAGAAUCUAAGAGAACUGAAAUGAAGACUAGAUAAUACAAUACUAAGAGUUGGAGAAUUUAACAUGCCUCUUUAAGAUGAAGCAGACAGAAAAUCAAUAAGGACGCAGUUGGAGUAAACAGCAUGAACAAUUGACCUGAUAGCUUGACAUUUAUAAAAUACUCCAUCUACAACAGCAGGAUACACAUGGGUUUCAAGCUCCCAUGGAACAUUCACCAAGAAAGACCACAUUCUGACCCACAAAACACACAUGAACAAAUUAACAAUAAUGGCAAUUGUACAGAGUAAUGUUCUCAGAGGACAAUGGAGUUAAAUUAGAAAUCAGUAACAGGAAGGUAGCUAAAAAAUUCCCAAAUAUUUGGGAAUUUAGAAACUUACUUCUAAAUAGCAUAUGGGUAAAAAAUGGAAAUCUCCAAAUAAAUUUAAAGAUAUUUUGAACUAAAUGAAAACAAAAAAUAAAACCUCGACAUCUGUGGGAUGCAGAAAAAGCAGUGCUUUUAGAGGACGAUUUAUAGCAUUGGAGAGAUGAAAAAAGAAAAAUCUAUUAUUAAUAAUCUAAGCUUUCACUUUAAAGAAUUGGGUAAAAAUAAAUUUAAUAUUAAAUCAAGCAGAAGAAAAGAAAUAAGAAAAAAUAAUACCAAAAUCAAUGAAAAUGAAUACAGAAAAAUACUAGAGAAAAUCAAUAAACAAAACGUUGGUUGUUUGAAAAUAUUAAUGAAGUUGAUAAAAACUAACCAGGGUAAAAAAUUAUAAAAAGAAUAAAUAAAUUAGCUGCAUUUCCCUGGGGAGUCUGCCACCUGGAGGUGGGAUCAUCAAUACUAAUCAUACUGACACAAAACAGAUCAUUUAAAAAAUAUUACAAACAACUCAUGACCACAUAAUUGAUAAUUUAGAUGAAAUGGACUGAUUCUUUGAAUUGCACUAACUACCAGAUCUUUCCCUGUGUAGUUUCUAAUCUGCUGUUAAUCUUACUCCGUGGCUUUCAGUUUCAGGUACUAUCAUUUUUAUCUCCGUAGAUUGGAUUUUAAAAUAUUUUCCAUUUCUUUUGUUUGUUUUCCUUAAACUAAUUGCUGAUGAUAUGCUUUUGAGUGUCUGAAUUUUCACGUCCUCUAGUGAAGACUGUUGGACUUUGACCUGAUGGGGAGUUAUGUUUCUUUCUGGACGUGUUAACAUUUUAGAUGUUGUUAGCUUGGUUCUGAAUUAAAGAAGUGUAGCCCUUCUAGAGCUUCUUUGGCUACACAAAGGAUCAACGCAGGGCUCCAUUCAGGCUGGGGGAAACUCAAAUAAUUUCAGGCAUGGGUGAUUUCUGGAAACCAUUCAUGUCACACCUACCCAACUGGUCUUUGCCGCCACGGAGUUUCACUAUACAAGUGUCUGUCUUUAUAUGCAAUAAACAUCCA
ensembl:lncRNA LINC03021 long intergenic non-protein coding RNA 3021